rnacentral:rRNA from 1 species
UACAGAGGUCCCAAGCGUUGUUCGGAUUCAUUGGGCGUAAAGGGUGCGUAGGCGGCGCGGUAAGUCGGGUGUGAAAUCUCGGAGCUUAACUCCGAAACUGCAUUCGAUACUGCCGUGCUUUGAGGACUGGAGAGGAGAAUGGAAUUCCUGGUGUAGCGGUGGAAUGCGCAGAUAUCAGGAGGAACACCGAUGGCGAAGGCAGUUCUCUGGGCCGUAACUGACGCUGAGGAGCGAAAAGCUGGGGGAGCGAACAGG